UGGAGUAUGAGGCAAGCAUAGACACACACACAUGUUAGGUCCCCCGAAAGAAGAGCAAUAUGGGCGAUAGUGAAAGCAGGCAAAAGAAGCAAGAAGAAGCAAGAGGAGACGAGCAUCCGAAAGCGGUGUAAUAGUGGCGAAGAAAGGAGGCAAAGAAGUGAAGGAAUGAGCCCAGGCAGCACCCCGCGGGAAGGCGAAGUAAAGAUGGGAAUGGAAGGACCCCGAAUGACAUAUGAGGGAUCCCGCCCACAAACGGCAGCCGGAUGGAUGGAUAGGAUGAAU
ensembl:ncRNA D1081.15 ncRNA